GGUUGCUUGAAAUGCAGGUGCGGCUGGACACAUCUUCUGAGCUAUAAGCAUUACCUAUUUAGUCCCGUCAAACGGAUUAUUUCUAUUGCUACAGCUAAUAUAAAGGUCGAUUGUCCUUGUGCCCGACUGAUGCAGGAAAACAUGGAGAAAUCCUUGUUCAACUCGAUCUCAAAUCAAGUAAGACUACCCGCUGAACUUAA
rnacentral:misc_RNA from 1 species